UCGAAGAUGACGAUGACCUUA
ensembl:piRNA 21ur-3779 ncRNA